GGUGCAGGAGCAGGCCUAGGAGCUGGGGGAGCAGGAGGAGUACCAGGAGGAGGAGGAGGGGGUGUACCUAGGGCUGGAGGAUAUAAUCCCGCUGCGGCCAAAGCUGCUAAAUAUGGAGUUCCAGGAGGUCUAGGAACAGGCUUAGGAGCAGGAGGACUUGGAGGAGUACAGGGAGGAGUACCUGGAGGAGGAGCAGGGGGGGUACCUGGGGCUGGAGGAUAUAAUCCUGCUGCAGCCAAAGCAGCUAAAUAUGGUCAGGGGGCUGCUGGUGGGCCACGGAGUGGAUAUGGUGGCGUGCCUGCUGGAGGAUAUCCCAGGCCUGGGGGCUAUGGGGGAUAUGGAGGAGCAGGAGCUGGAGGGUAUAAUCCUGCUGCGGCCAAAGCUGCUAAAUAUGUCUCAGGAGCUGGAGGAGCAGGCCUAGGAGCUGGAGGAGCAGGCCUAGGAGGAGCAGGAGGAGUACCAGGGACUGGGGCUGGACCAGGAUAUGGAGGCUAUGGAGGAUAUGGAGGGGUACCAGCAGGAGGGGCUGCUACUGCAGCCAAAGCUGCUAAAUAUGG